CCAGCCUGCCCAGUGACUACGGGUUCAACGGCCGCGGUAUUUUGACCGUGCAAAGGUAGCGCAAUCACUUGUCUCUUAAAUAGAGACCUGUAUGAAUGGCUAGACGAGGGCUUAACUGUCUCCCCCCUUCAGUCAGUGAAAUUGAUCUAUCCGUGCAGAAGCGGGUAUAAUUAUACAAGACGAGAAGACCCUUUGGAGCUUAAGGUACAAAGUUCAACCACGUUAAACGACUCUACAUAAAGCAAGAACCUAGUGGCGAAUGAAAUUUUACCUUCGGUUGGGGCGACCACGGAGGAGAAAAAAGCCUCCGAGUGGACUGGGCUAAACCCCAAAGCUAAGAGACACAUCUCUAAGCCGCAGAACAUCUGACCAAAAAUGAUCCGACUGAAAAGCCGAUCAACGAACCAAGUUACCCUAGGGAUAACAGCGCAAUCCUCUCCCAGAGUCCAUAUCGACGAGGGGGUUUACGACCUCGAUGUUGGAUCAGGACAUCCUAAUGGUGCAGCCGCUAU
rnacentral:rRNA from 1 species